rnacentral:rRNA from 1 species
GAUGAACGCUGGCGGCGUGCCUAAUACAUGCAAGUCGAGCGAACAGACGAGGAGCUUGCUCCUCUGACGUUAGCGGCGGACGGGUGAGUAACACGUGGAUAACCUACCUAUAAGACUGGGAUAACUUCGGGAAACCGGAGCUAAUACCGGAGAAUAUAUUGAACCGCAUGGUUCAAUAGUGAAAGACGGUUUUGCUGUCACGUAUAGAUGGAUCCGCGCCGCAUUAGCUAGUUGGUAAGGUAACAGCUUACCAAGGCAACGAUGCGUAGCCGACCUGAGAGGGUGAUCGGCCACACUGGAACUGAGACACGGUCCAGACUCCUACGGGAGGCAGCAGUAGGGAAUCUUCCGCAAUGGGCGAAAGCCUGACGGAGCAACGCCGCGUGAGUGAUGAAGGUCUUCGGAUCGUAAAACUCUGUUAUUAGGGAAGAACAAAUGUGUAAGUAACUAUGCACGUCUUGACGGUACCUAAUCAGAAAGCCACGGCUAACUACGUG